ensembl:lncRNA
AACUGUGGUGUUGGGGAAGACUCUUGAGAGUCCCUUGGACUGCAAGGAGAUCCAACCAGUCCAUCCUAAAGGAAAUCAGUCCUAAAUAUUCAUUGGAAGGACUGAUGCUGAAGCUGAAACUCCAAUACUUUGGCCACCUGAUGCAAAGAGCUUACUCAUUUGAAAAGACCCUGAUGCUAGGAAAGACUGAAGGCGGAAGAAGGGGAUGACAGAGGAUGCGGUGAUUGGAUGGCAUCACCGAUUCAACGGACAUGAGUUUGAGCCAACUCUGGGAGUUGGUGAUGGACUGGGAGGCCUGGCUGCUGCAGUCCAUGGGAUUGCAGAGUCGGACACGACUGAGCGACUGAACUGAGCUGAACUAUAGAAGCCAACCCUGUGACCCAGCAGUUCCAUGGUUAUGUGUACAGCCAAGGGAAAUGUGUGCUUACAAGGCACCAACAGUUAUCGGAAUGUUGACAGAUGCAUUUGUUUUAAUAACCCCAAAUGGAAAUAACCAAAAAGGCCAUCAAAGAUAGAAUAAGGUAAUACAUUCACAGUGUUCAUAUCAUGGGAUACUUCUCAGCAAUGAAAAGAAUGACCUACUACAGGCGACAACAUGGAUAAACUGCAAAAACAUAAAGUUGAGCAUAAGAUGUCAGACAGGAAAGGACAUAGGGCCACAUGGAACAAAGCCCUGUGCUGGUUCUGAGUAUCCUCAGCCAAGAUGGAUUUCAACACAAAGGUGCCUGGGAGGAAAGAAGCAAAACUCAUUAUGGCCUGGCAUUGUCUUCUGGCUCUUGAUCCCCAAGGAGCGUGUAGUAUCUCCCUGCCCCAAGGAAGGGAGGAAGUAGAGAUCCCUUAAUCAUUUAUUCAAACAAGGUGCCACUCUUCUCUUCUCGUCAUGACUGUUACCUUGAAGUGUCCAUAGGAGACAAAACCUGGCUAUUUACCAUUUCCGUUGUUACUUCCACGUUGUAGGAGAAGAGGCAGAUUGCAGAUGCCUGCAGCCCGCGUGUCUUAGGAAAUGCAAACAGCAGGCUAGUUGUAAAUGCCUAAUUUGGAGUCCAUCUGUCUCCUGCCUCAA